GCUAACUCACUCAUUGAUAACUUAAGUAAUAACGUGUUCAUGACGAUUUUACCCCAAAAAAAAAAAACGUGUUCAUGACGAAUUAUUGCUGGGCUUAUAAAAAUAAGUUGCAUAGACUUGUAUAGUAACUAAAUCAAGUUAAUUUCAUACACUAAAUAAAAACAUAAUAUACCAUUUUCAUAUUGGACUAGAUCUUAUCUUGGAUAUUCCUCUCAGUUUUUAGAUAUCUCAUGAUUAUUUUUAAUUUUUAAUUCUAAAAGAAAAUUGCCAAAAAUAUCACAUUUAUAAUAUCAC
rnacentral:lncRNA from 1 species